GCCUGGGUGGCUCAAUGGUAGAGCAUCUGCCUUUGGCUCAGGGCAUGGUCCCACGGUCCAGGGGUCGAGUCCCAUAUCAGGCU
rnacentral:tRNA from 1 species